rnacentral:tRNA from 1 species
GCCGCUAUCGUCUAGUGGUUAGGACACUAGGUUCUCAUCCUAGAAACCCGGGUUCGAUUCCCGGCAGCGGUA